rnacentral:tRNA from 1 species
GGAGCUGUAGCUCAGUGGUAGAGUGCUUGCCUAGCAUGCAUGAGGCACUGGGUUCUAUCCUCAGCGCCA